rnacentral:rRNA from 1 species
CAGUCGCCACGGGAAUACGUAGGGUCCGAGCGUUGUCCGGAAUUAUUGGGCGUAAAGAGCUCGUAGGCGGUCUGUCGCGUCUGCCGUGAAAUCCUCAGGCUCAACCUGAGGCGUGCGGUGGGUACGGGCAGGCUAGAGUGCGGUAGGGGAGAAUGGAACUCCUGGUGUAGCGGUGGAAUGCGCAGAUAUCAGGAAGAACACCGAUGGCGAAGGCAGUUCUCUGGGCCGUAACUGACGCUGAGGAGCGAAAGCGUGGGGAGCGAACAGGAUUAGAUACCCCAGUAGUCCCUGUCUCUUAUAC